rnacentral:rRNA from 1 species
CACCGCGGUUAUACGAGAGGCCCAAGUUGACAGACAACGGCGUAAAGGGUGGUUAGGAGUACAAAUUAAACUAAAGCUAAACGCUUUCAAGGCUGUUAUACGUGCCCGAAAGUAUGAGACCCAAUUACGAAAGUAGCUUUACCUAGUCUGAAUCCACGAAAGCUAAGAAA